CAAUCCCAUCAGCAACCAGACUCAACAUCUGGACAUCACUCAACUCUGUCACACAUGUGCAGACUCUGUAUUUCUGAUAGCACUGAUCUCUGCUGCUGCCGCCGGAUCUCUGUUGAUUAUAGUUGCAGUCGUGAUCUGCUGCAUCUGCAGGAAUUGUAAAAAAGCAGUCCAGACCCAAGAGAAAAACAAAACCGUUUCAGCAUUGCAUAAAACAACAACAACAAAACUGAAAUUAAAGAAGGAGCCUGUGUACGGAAAUGUCACCAAAACAAGAUGAUCAAAACAAAAUGUCCUAAAGAACUCAUCUGGGCCUUGAUUCACACCUUUUGUUUCAUAUUUGUUCUCUGCCAGGAUCUUUUACUUUUUUCUGUUUUGUUCUCUGUCUUUGUUUUCAACUGUUAAUCAUUUUGAAACAUUUAAAGCAGGCAGGGUUAACCUUACAGUAGUACUCAACACUGAUUACUGUCAGACUUUCAGAAUACUUCAUCACUUAAAUCAAGAUUGUAAUAAUUUAAUUGUAAAGCACAACCACCAUGAUAUAAGACUUUAUCACUUUUUUUUUUUUUUUUUUUUUUUUUACUUUGAGAUCAUUCUGAGGUUAAAUACAGAUUUAAAAUCAUAUGACAUAGUUUAAUAGUUCUGAUGAAAUCAAAUCUUUGCAUAGCUAUGACAGGAACUAACAAUGCCUUGGAGAAAAAAAAAAAAACUGUUAAUCUUUAAAAAAAAAAAGCAUAUACAUAAUCCCAAAUAGUAAAUA